CUAGCAACUCCAAUCAGGUUGGGGAUAGCUCAAAUAUUGCUUCUCAAUUCAGCUGCAAGGAAAGAGCCAUCAGCUGGCAUUUGGAAUGGUGCAGAUUUUGGCUGUGGAGCACAUGUGACCAAAAUGCUUCCAGCAACUUGACCAACCUUGAUACCUUAAGAACAAAAGAUGUCUGGGUGAGUGUACACAAGAGAGUUCAUGUAGUCAUCCAGUGGAGUGAGAGCAGUUGUGAUAUGGGACACAACACGACAGGCAUACACAAGGCAUUCCUUAGGUGAGUCUGGAUGAAGAGUGUUUGACUGUGUUGUAAUGUUCCAGA
rnacentral:lncRNA from 1 species